UCGAACGCAUUUUCUUCCACCGUAGCUUGCUACACCGGAAGAAAAUGAGUGGCGAACGGGUGAGUAACACGUGGGUAACCUGCCCAUCAGCGGGGGAUAACACUUGGAAACAGGUGCUAAUACCGCAUAAUUCCAUUUACCGCAUGGUAGAUGGAUGAAAGGCGCUUUUGCGUCACUGAUGGAUGGACCCGCGGUGCAUUAGCUAGUUGGUGGGGUAACGGCCUACCAAGGCUGCGAUGCAUAGCCGACCUGAGAGGGUGAUCGGCCACACUGGGACUGAGACACGGCCCAGACUCCUACGGGAGGCAGCAGUAGGGAAUCUUCGGCAAUGGACGCAAGUCUGACCGAGCAACGCCGCGUGAGUGAAGAAGGUUUUCGGAUCGUAAAACUCUGUUGUUAGAGAAGAACAAGGAUGAGAGUGGAAAGUUCAUCCCUUGACGGUAUCUAACCAGAAAGCCACGGCUAACUACGUGCCAGCAGCCGCGGUAAUACGUAGGUGGCAAGCGUUGUCCGGAUUUAUUGGGCGUAAAGCGAGCGCAGGCGGUCUUUUAAGUCUGAUGUGAAAGCCCCCGGCUUAACCGGGGAGGGUCAUUGGAAACUGGGAGACUUGAGUGCAGAAGAGGAAAGCGGAAUUCCAUGUGUAGCGGUGAAAUGCGUAGAUAUAUGGAGGAACACCAGUGGCGAAGGCGGCUUUCUGGUCUGUAACUGACGCUGAGGCUCGAAAGCGUGGGGAGCAAA
rnacentral:rRNA from 1 species